GGCGUAUGUUGGGGCGGCGUGGGCCAGCUGGCUGCUGCCGCUGGCCGGGUUCGAGGUGAUCGAGCGGUGGCGCCGGGCCGUGACCGGCUCACGCCCC
rnacentral:tRNA from 1 species